GAUUGUGGCUCAGCGGUAGAGCACUCACCUAGCAUGUGUGAGGCCCUGGGUUCAAUCCUCAGCACCA
rnacentral:tRNA from 1 species